rnacentral:rRNA from 1 species
GACGAACCGUGCGAACGUUGUUCGGAAUCACUGGGCUUAAAGGGCGCGUAGGCGGGCUCCCAAGUCUGGGGUGAAAUCUUUCGGCUUAACCGGAAAAGUGCCUUGGAUACUGGGAGCCUUGAGGGAGGCAGGGGCGGAUGGAACUUCCGGUGGAGCGGUGAAAUGCGUUGAUAUCGGAAGGAACGCCGGUGGCGAAAGCGAUCCGCUGGACCUCUUCUGACGCUGAGGCGCGAAAGCCAGGGGAGCAAACGGG